rnacentral:rRNA from 1 species
UACGUAGGGUGCAAGCGUUGUCCGGAAUUAUUGGGCGUAAAGAGCUCGUAGGCGGUUCGUCGCGUCGGCUGUGAAAUCCCGAGGCUCAACCUCGGGUCUGCAGUCGAUACGGGCGGACUGGAGUUCGGCAGGGGAGACUGGAAUUCCUGGUGUAGCGGUGGAAUGCGCAGAUAUCAGGAGGAACACCAAUGGCGAAGGCAGAUCUCUGGGCCGUAACUGACGCUGAGGAGCGAAAGCAUGGGGAGCGAACAGG